UUCCGUGGUUUUGGCGAGAGUAAAAUACCUGGUUCCAUUCCGAACCCAGUAGUUAAGGCUUUUUGCGCUGAUGGUACUGCACUUGUUAGGGUGUGGGAGAGUAGGUCACCGCGGGUU
rnacentral:rRNA from 1 species